rnacentral:rRNA from 1 species
AGUGAACGCUGGCGGCGUGCCUAACACAUGCAAGUCGAGCGAGCAGAUCCCUUCGGGGUGAAGCUAGCGGCGGACGGGUGAGUAACACGUGGGCAACCUGCCUCAUAGAGGGGAAUAGCCUUCCGAAAGGAAGAUUAAUACCGCAUAAGAUUGUAGCUUCGCAUGAAGUAGCAAUUAAAGGAGCAAUCCACUAUGAGAUGGGCCCGCGGCGCAUUAGCUAGUUGGUGAGGUAACGGCUCACCAAGGCGACGAUGCGUAGCCGACCUGAGAGGGUGAUCGGCCACAUUGGGACUGAGACACGGCCCAGACUCCUACGGGAGGCAGCAGUGGGGAAUAUUGCACAAUGGGGGAAACCCUGAUGCAGCAAUGCCGCGUGAGUGAUGACGGCCUUCGGGUUGUAAAGCUCUGUCUUCGGGGACGAUAAUGACGGUACCCGAGGAGGAAGCCACGGCUAACUACGUGCCAGCCGCCGCCGUAA